rnacentral:rRNA from 1 species
AUUGAACGCUGGCGGCAGGCCUAACACAUGCAAGUCGAACGGCAGCACAGAAGAGCUUGCUCUUUGGGUGGCGAGUGGCGGACGGGUGAGUAAUGUCUGGGAAACUGCCCGAUGGAGGGGGAUAACUACUGGAAACGGUAGCUAAUACCGCAUAACGUCGCGAGACCAAAGUGGGGGACCUUCGGGCCUCACACCAUCGGAUGUGCCCAGAUGGGAUUAGCUAGUAAGUGGGGUAAUGGCUCACCUAGGCGACGAUCCCUAGCUGGUCUGAGAGGAUGACCGGCCCCACUGGAACUGAGACACGGUCCAGACUCCUACGGGAGGCAGCAGUGGGGAAUAUUGCACAAUGGGCGCAAGCCUGAUGCAGCCAUGCCGCGCGUAUGAAGAAGGCCUUCGGGUUGUAAAGUACUUUCAGCGGGGAGGAAGGCGGUGAGGUUAAUAACCUUGCCGAUUGACGUUACCCGCAGAAGAAGCACCGGCUAACUCCGUGCCAGCCGCCGCCGUAA